UACGGAGGGUGCGAGCGUUGUCCGGAAUCACUGGGCGUAAAGGGCGCGUAGGUGGCGCAGGAAGUCAACGGUGAAAGUUCGGGGCUCAACCCUGAAUCGGCCGUCGAUACUCCUGGGCUCGAGCACUGUAGAGGCAGAUGGAAUUCCGGGUGUAGCGGUGGAAUGCGUAGAGAUCCGGAAGAACACCGGUGGCGAAGGCGGCUGCUGGG
rnacentral:rRNA from 1 species